UACGUAGGGUGCAAGCGUUAUCCGGAAUUAUUGGGCGUAAAGAGCUCGUAGGCGGUUUGUCGCGUCUGCUGUGAAAACUGGAGGCUCAACCUCCAGCCUGCAGUGGGUACGGGCAGACUAGAGUGUGGUAGGGGGAGACUGGAAUUCCUGGUGUAGCGGUGAAAUGCGCAGAUAUCAGGAGGAACACCGAUGGCGAAGGCAGGUCUCUGGGCCACUACUGACGCUGAGAAGCGAAAGCAUGGGGAGCGAACAGGAUAGAU
rnacentral:rRNA from 1 species